GACUGAAAAGAUCAAAACUGUAAUUAAGUCAAGUCUUGGUUUGUUGACAUGGGGCUUAGCAUAAGUUACUCCAUUUUGGGCCUGUUGUCUUAUUUUUAACAGUGUCAGGGUUGAUUGCACUACCGCUGAUAGAUCAGUGACUGUGCUUGUCUCCAUUCAGGGGCACUACCAACAGCAAAUGCUAUUCUUCCUGAAGAGGCUGCAGAGCACAAGGUUGUAAUAAUGGACUGGAACAUCAGUGGAUCUGGCUUCAACUCUGACCUCCACUGGUCUGAACCAGCUGUAUGACCUCAGGCUUGAGGGUCCUUUACUCCAGAAGAGGAAAAGGAAGGAAGGAGGAUACAGCCUUGGAUGUAGAAAGAAUUGAAAGAGCUAGCCUAGAAAAUGAACCUCAGUGACGAGGAGAAAAACUACUUCUACAGGCAAAGAAGACCUGUUGGGAAAACAGAAGGUCUGCAAGCAGGAGACACAGAAUUCCAUGGCAGGUGGAUUCUCCUUAGCUGUCAGUACCUUCUCUAAGUGCUGGUGACAGGGUGGUGAUUUCUAAUGACAGUCAUCCCAGGCAUCAGGAGGCCACGCAGGAACUGGGAGGAGAAUAGAAGUUGCGAGGCACCUCGUAAAACUCCACAUUAAGAAGAUGUGAAAAAGCAGUUCACACAACUGCGAUGACAAUCAGAAAAGAAACACAGGCUGCUGAUCACCACAAGUAACCCAGAAUGUUAAAACUGAAGCAACACUGAACAUGACUUUAUGUUUAGUAAACAAGCCUCUUCCCACUGCUUCACACAGGCAGAGAAUUUUGGAUUUUGUUCACUGUUCUCUUGGACCCAAGAGAGUGGCCAAUCAUAGCAGAAACUCAAUAAAUACUUGUUAAAUGUAAAA